AGAGUUUGAUCCUGGCUCAGGAUGAACGCUAGCUACAGGCUUAACACAUGCAAGUCGAGGGGAAACGACAUCGAAAGCUUGCUUUUGAUGGGCGUCGACCGGCGCACGGGUGAGUAACGCGUAUCCAACCUGCCCACCACUUGGGGAUAACCUUGCGAAAGUAAGACUAAUACCCAAUGACGUCUCUAGAGGACAUCUGAAAGAGAUUAAAGAUUUAUCGGUGAUGGAUGGGGAUGCGUCUGAUUAGCUUGUUGGCGGGGUAACGGCCCACCAAGGCUACGAUCAGUAGGGGUUCUGAGAGGAAGGUCCCCCACAUUGGAACUGAGACACGGUCCAAACUCCUACGGGAGGCAGCAGUGAGGAAUAUUGGUCAAUGGACGAGAGUCUGAACCAGCCAAGUAGCGUGCAGGAUGACGGCCCUAUGGGUUGUAAACUGCUUUUAUAAGGGAAUAAAGUGAGUCUCGUGAGACUUUUUGCAUGUACCUUAUGAAUAAGGACCGGCUAAUUCCGUGCCAGCAGCCGCGGUAAUACGGAAGGUCCGGGCGUUAUCCGGAUUUAUUGGGUUUAAAGGGAGCGUAGGCCGGAGAUUAAGCGUGUUGUGAAAUGUAGAUGCUCAACAUCUGCACUGCAGCGCGAACUGGUUUCCUUGAGUACGCACAAAGUGGGCGGAAUUCGUGGUGUAGCGGUGAAAUGCUUAGAUAUCACGAAGAACUCCGAUUGCGAAGGCAGCUCACUGGAGCGCAACUGACGCUGAAGCUCGAAAGUGCGGGUAUCGAACAGGAUUAGAUACCCUGGUAGUCCGCACGGUAAACGAUGGAUGCCCGCUGUUGGUCUGAAUAGGUCAGCGGCCAAGCGAAAGCAUUAAGCAUCCCACCUGGGGAGUACGCCGGCAACGGUGAAACUC
rnacentral:rRNA from 1 species